UACAGAGGUCUCAAGCGUUGUUCGGAUUCAUUGGGCGUAAAGGGUGCGUAGGUGGCGGGGUAAGUCAGGUGUGAAAUCUCGAGGCUCAACCUCGAAACUGCACUUGAUACUGCCUUGCUCGAGUACUGGAGAGGAGAUUGGAAUUUACGGUGUAGCAGUGAAAUGCGUAGAUAUCGUAAGGAAGACCAGUGGCGAAGGCGAAUCUCUGGACAGUUACUGACACUGAGAGACGAAAGCUAGGGGAGCAAAUGGG
rnacentral:rRNA from 1 species